GGAGAUGUGGCAGAAAUAUGCGAUUGGCUUGAAACCAUUAGGAUGGAAGUUAAAUUCUUCCCGUCUCUC
rnacentral:tRNA from 1 species